AAAAUAAUCCUACCCUUUGUGAAUUUUGUUUGUUUGAAUAAUUUUUUUUUUUAAAAAAUUAUUGGAGUCUUUCCCUUUAGUUUGCUUUUGAGUUUUGUAAAAGAAUUCGAAAACAUCUAAAGGGGGAUGGUCAAUAAUUUUUUUUGAAAAAGACAUUUUUUUAAAAUUAAACUUUUUGUAUUCAUUUGUCUAAAAAUUAUUUUUAUAAUAUAAAAACAACUUUUGACAAUGGAUCUCUUGGUUCUCGCAAACGAUGAAGAACGCAGCAAAAUGCGAUAAGUAAGUGUGAAUUGCAGAUACGUGAAUCAUCGAAUCUUUGAACGCAUAUUGCACUUUUUUUAGUUUACUAAAAAAGUAUGUCUGUUUGAGUAUCAGUAAAAUAUUCUCAUAAAAAUCAUUGUGUAUUUUUAUGGUUAUGAGUGUUUUACAACGAUACAAGUUGUUUCACUUUAAAUUUUUUUUUAAUAUUGAAAUUUUUCUAAUUUUAAUAAUUAAAAAUUGGAUAAAAUUUCCCGUCAAAAGGAAUAACCUAAAACAAUUGUAAAUGAGUUAAUUUUAGCAAAAUUUUCGUAAAAAAGGAAAAUUUUUAUUAAAAUAACUUGAUCUCAAAUCAGAUAAGAGUAACCCGCUGACUUAAGCAUAAUCAAUAAGCGGAGGAAAAGAAACUAGCAAGGAUUCCCUUAGUAACGGCGAGUGAAGCGGAAGAGCUCAAAUUUUGAAAUCUUCAAGGUUUUACCUUGACGAAUUGUAGUUUAAAGAAGUGUUUUCUGCUGACGUUUCUGGUAAAAAGUUCUUUGGAAUAGGACAUCAUAGAGGGUGAGAAUCCCGUAUAUUGACCAUUAUUUCAGCUUUGUGAUACACUUUCAAAGAGUCGGAUUGUUUGGGAAUGCAGUCCAAAAUGGGUGGUAAAUUUCAUCUAAAGCUAAAUAUUGGCGAGAGACCGAUUAGCGAACAAGUACCUGUGAGGGAAAGAUGAAAAAGAACUUUGAAAAAGAGAGUUAAACAGGUACGUGAAAUUGUCAAAAGGGAAGCGUUUGACACCAGUGUUGUUUCUCGAAAUCAUUAAAAAUGGCUCGAUUUUGUAUUGCUUGAGACCUUAAAAGCUCACUGUACAUUUUUCCGUGUCUUUUUUAAUGCACUUUUCGUUUAACAAGUCAACAUCAGUUUCUUUUGCUGUAAAAGGUCAUUGGAAGGUUGGCUUUCUUUUCGGAGAAAGUGUUUAUAGCCUUUGGCCUCUGCAAUCGGAGAGACUGAGGUCUGUCAGCGUAGAUCUUCCGGGGUUAGAUACAUUUGUGCUAAGUUAUAGCUUUUAUAGACAACUUGUUGACUAUAAUUAGUCUUGUAGCUUACUCGCUUAUGCUAUUUUACCUAC
rnacentral:misc_RNA from 1 species